rnacentral:rRNA from 1 species
AAAUUGAAGAGUUUGAUCAUGGCUCAGAUUGAACGCUGGCGGCAGGCCUAACACAUGCAAGUCGAACGGUAGCACAGAGAGCUUGCUCUCGGGUGACGAGUGGCGGACGGGUGAGUAAUGUCUGGGAAACUGCCCGAUGGAGGGGGAUAACUACUGGAAACGGUAGCUAAUACCGCAUAACGUCGCAAGACCAAAGUGGGGGACCUUCGGGCCUCACACCAUCGGAUGUGCCCAGAUGGGAUUAGCUAGUAGGUGAGGUAACGGCUCACCAAGGCGACGAUCCCUAGCUGGUCUGAGAGGAUGACCAGCCACACUGGAACUGAGACACGGUCCAGACUCCUACGGGAGGCAGCAGUGGGGAAUAUUGCACAAUGGGCGCAAGCCUGAUGCAGCCAUGCCGCGUGUAUGAAGAAGGCCUUCGGGUUGUAAAGUACUUUCAGCGAGGAGGAAGGCGUUGUGGUUAAUAACCACAGCGAUUGACGUUACUCGCAGAAGAAGCACCGGCUAACUCCGUGCCAGCAGCCGCGGUAAUACGGAGGGUGCAAGCGUUAAUCGGAAUUACUGGGCGUAAAGCGCACGCAGGCGGUUUGUUAAGUCAGAUGUGAAAUCCCCGGGCUCAACCUGGGAACUGCAUUUGAAACUGGCAAGCUUGAGUCUCGUAGAGGGGGGUAGAAUUC